UACGUAGGUGGCAAGCGUUGUCCGGAUUUAUUGGGUUUAAAGGGUGCGUAGGUGGCUUUGUAAGUCAGCGGUGAAACUCUGGAGCUUAACUCCAGACCGGCCAUUGAUACUGCAGAGCUUGAGUUCGAACGAGGUAGGCGGAAUUGACGGUGUAGCGGUGAAAUGCAUAGAUAUCGUCAAGAACGCCAAUAGCGAAGGCAGCUUACUAGAACGACACUGACACUGAGGCACGAAAGCGUGGGUAGCAAACAGG
rnacentral:rRNA from 1 species